UGCAAGUUAGCUGGGAUUAUAUUCCAGGUA
rnacentral:piRNA from 1 species